UACGUAGGGGGCAAGCGUUGUCCGGAAUUAUUGGGCGUAAAGAGCGCGUAGGCGGUCCGAUAAGUCGGCUGUGAAAGUCAAGGGCUCAACCCUUGAAAGCCGGCCGAUACUGUCGGACUAGAGUCCGGAAGAGGCGAGUGGAAUUCCCGGUGUAGCGGUGAAAUGCGUAGAUAUCAGGAGGAACACCAAUAGCGAAGGCAGCUCGCUGGGACGGUAUUGACGCUAAGGCGCGAAAGCGUGGGGAGCAAACAGG
rnacentral:rRNA from 1 species